CCGCAAGGUUGAAACUCAAAUGAAUUGACGGGGACCCGCACAAGCGGUGGAGCAUGUGGAUUAAUUCGAUACUAACCGAAGAACCUUACCCAGGCUUGACAUCGAUCGCAAAUCCCGGAAACGGGAUCCUCUCCCACAAGGAGACGUGAAGACAGAUGUUGCAUGGCUGUCGUCAGCUCGUGCCGUGAGGUGUACGGUUAAGUCCGCCAACGAGCGCAACCCUCGUUCUAUGUUGCCAGCGAGUAAUGUCGGGAACUCAUAGGAGACCGCCGGUGUAAAUCGGAGGAAGGUGAGGAUGACGUCAAGUCAGCAUGGCUCUUACGCCUGGGGCUUCACACAUGCUACAAUGGACGCAACAGAGGGCCGCAAUACCGCGAGGUGGAGCAAAUCCCAAAAAUACGUCCUCAGUUCAGAUUGCAGUCUGCAACUCGACUGCAUAAAGGCGGAAUCGCUAGUAAACGCAGGUCAGCUAUACUGCGUUGAAUACGUUCCCGGGUCUUGUACACACCGCCCGUCAAGUCACCCGAAUUGUCUUCACCCGAAGUCCGUGGCCUAACCGUAAGGAGGGAGCGGCCGAAGGUGAGGGGGGUAAGGGGGACU
rnacentral:rRNA from 1 species